rnacentral:pre_miRNA from 1 species
AGGAGGAAAAUUUGUGUGGAGUUGGAACAGCUUUGCUUCGUUUCUCGCUAGGGGCGCUGUUUUAACUCCACUCAAAUUUGAGUUA